AAGUCGUAACAAGGUUUCCGUAGGUGAACCUGCGGAAGGAUCAUUAUUGAAUAAACUUGGUCAAGCUGUUGCUGGUCCUUCGGGGCAUGUGCACGCUUGCCACCAAUUUUAAACCACCUGUGCACCUUUUGUAGAUUGGAAACGUUUCUCGAGGCAACUCGGAUUGAGGACUGCUGUGCGCGAGCCAGCUGUUCUUGUGUUUCUCAAUCUAUGUUUUCAUAUACUCCUAAUGUAUGUAUCAGAAUGUAUUGCUAGGCCUCUGUGCCUUUAAAUCAAAUACAAAUUUCAACAACGGAUCUCUUGGCUCUC
rnacentral:misc_RNA from 1 species